rnacentral:rRNA from 1 species
AGUUGCGAACGGGUGAGUAACGCGUAGGUAACCUGCCUACUAGCGGGGGAUAACUAUUGGAAACGAUAGCUAAUACCGCAUAACAGUGUUUAACACAUGUUAGAUGCUUGAAAGAUGCAAUUGCAUCACUAGUAGAUGGACCUGCGUUGUAUUAGCUAGUUGGUGGGGUAACGGCCCACCAAGGCGACGAUACAUAGCCGACCUGAGAGGGUGAUCGGCCACACUGGGACUGAGACACGGCCCAGACUCCUACGGGAGGCAGCAGUAGGGAAUCUUCGGCAAUGGGGGCAACCCUGACCGAGCAACGCCGCGUGAGUGAAGAAGGUUUUCGGAUCGUAAAGCUCUGUUGUAAGAGAAGAACGUGUGUGAGAGUGGAAAGUUCACACAGUGACGGUAACUUACCAGAAAGGGACGGCUAACUACGUGCCAGCAGCCGCGGUAAUACGUAGGUCCCGAGCGUUGUCCGGAUUUAUUGGGCGUAAAGCGAGCGCAGGCGGUUUAAUAAGUCUGAAGUUAAAGGCAGUGGCUUAACCAUUGUUCGCUUUGGAAACUGUUAAACUUGAGUGCAGAAGGGGAGAGUGGAAUUCCAUGUGUAGCGGUGAAAUGCGUAGAUAUAUGGAGGAACACCGGUGGCGAAAGCG